rnacentral:sRNA from 1 species
ACAAAACAAACAUAAUUCUAAUGCGAAAUUUAAAACAACCAAAUAACAAAGAAUUCAAAAAAUCCAAGUGAAACCGAAAAGAAGUUAACAAAAGAAACAAUAAAAACACCUGCAAAAAAAUAAGUGUAAAAAUUCAAGUGCAAAAGUAAAGAAAAACGAAUAUAAAAAACUCCCUCCAUUCUCUCUCUCUGCAACAUCCACAGUUACGUCUCUCGUAACGGACACGGCGACCCUC